GGGUAAUUUUAACAAAUUACUUAAAAUUAUUUUCCUCUUUCAAUUUAUUAGUGUUAUAAGCAAAAUAUUGAAUAAUAAGAAGAAUGAAAAAUAAUCUUUUUACUAGAAAAUUGCGAUGUUGUGAAAAGUUUCUCGAGAAAACUCAAAAAGUGCCUUGAAAUGAAAACAAAAUAGAAGAAAAAGGUGCAAAUUAGCCCGAGUCUCUCGUACAGUAACGGAAAACAGCCGGAAGAAUAACUUAUAAAUUGAGUUCGUGCGUCUCUGGCGAAAUCUCACAUAAUUCCAGGGAAUUAUGUGUGCUCUCAAGGGGAAUUCAUCAUCAUCUUUUGGCAGUAUUGACUUCUCGGCUAUACUCGAGGAAGAAUUCCUCGCGAUGGAGGCAAAGGAGAAUGCCAGGCGCAACUCCUCGCAAACGGAUCUCGAUAUUAGCCUUCUAGCUGGGGAUAUUGUGACAAAUGCCCUGCACAUCCCACGGAGUCUCUUCUGUCCUUUCUGUGCUGAGGAGUACAUGUUCCAGUUUACACUGAAGGAUCACCUCAAGCGCGAGCAUCAUGCGGAAUUGCAGCAACAUGUUGGACGUCAGAGAGCUGCCCCGGCUGGGGAUGUGAGUCUAGCUGCUUCCCAUGCCUGCCCUGUGUGUGGGGCACUCUUCUUCCACAUGGCACUACUACCGAAGCACAUCCUCAAACGUCACGGACGUACUUUCCUGCAGCACUGGCAGAAGGAGAAUGCCGCUGAGAUGGUAAGGAUGCGUGAAGAGCCGAGUAUUUUGUAUGCUGCCUGUUCUCCGGGAUUAAGUGAAAUCUUCAAUGGACUUACAACGAAUGAGAAGGAAAAGCCGGAAAAUCCCUGUCAGGAAGCUCAUCAUGAGGCAUGUGUGGCAACACCCAGUAAGAGUAUUCUUAAGAAAACCCCCAUAAAGGGCGGAAGAAUCAUCACAUCUCCAUCCUCAGUGUCAAUUAGACGUACCAAGAGUGACUACGUGAAGAGAUGCACACCGGUGCGCAGGGAAUUACGCUUUGAUCUUCCGCCGCUGAAGAAAAAAUCUCCCGAAGAAAAACUUCCGCCAAUGCCGCGUGAUGAGACACGCUCAUCGUGGCGACUACCCUUUGGGUGGCGCAAUAAGAAACCCCCCAAAGCUCCCCCACAAAAGAGCGUAGUAGUCCUCACGAGUACCCCAAUCAAUGGCCUAGAUGACACCAUGGAUGUUCCCUCCUUUUUUGACCUGGAGCGUUUCCAAUGCGCCCGUUGCCGUAAAACGUGGGACAACAAUGCUGAGCUCCUGGAGCACCUCAAGGGGCACCACCGGAGUGCCAGGCACUUCAUGAGACCCCACUACAGGUGCGCCCAGUGCGGGGCUACUUUCUACCGGAACAGCUACCUAGUACGGCAUUGCCACUUCCAUCACACCCCACUUAAAACGCGCCAGGUCAUCAGGAACUGAUGCUCCGUUUCUUUAACAACGAAGAAAAUACUCCGCAGUGAAAUCAGCAAGAAAGUCUUUAAAUGAAAUUAUCUCACAGAGAUAAUCAAGAUAUUACUCUCCAGUAUUGUACAACCAGACACACCCCGUCCAGGAAUCUCUAUUUAAUCGGAUUUGACCACCAAAUGUACGACCAAACCGUAAGUAAACCAAAACGCAUCAUGAAGCAGGAAGUCUGUCCGGAGAGGGAGGAGAAAUUGUGCGACUCUUUGAUUACCCAUUUCCGGACAUUCUGCCAUGAUAUACACCGCAUGGAAUUCCCAUUGUUUGCAACUCAUCUCCGGCACAAUUGCUCAACAUUCUUCCCCAUACACACAGAGACAUUAUUGCCUCUCACAGGUCAGACAAAUGGGGAAUUCAAAGAGAGACGAUAAAUUGUUGAUUUCUUAUUUAUUUAUUUAUAUUUUUUGUAAUUCAAUUUGUGCGACAAAUAUGAGCGAAAUAUGAAUUUAAAAUGCAAA